CCACCGGGCAUGCACAGUAGCGGCGAGCGAAGCUGCACAAGCUCAGGGUUGAAAUCUGCGACAACGCAGAAUUGUAGUCUAGAGACGCGGAGCGGCGCGGCGCAGCGGCCUCGCAAGUCCCUUGGAAGAGGGCGCCGGAGAGGGUGAGAGCCCCGUGGCGAGGCGCGGUGUGUUGUGCGAUUUGCGUUCGAAGAGUCGGGCUGUUUGAGAUCGCAGCCCAAAGCGGGAGGUAAAUUUCUUCCAAAGCUAAGUAUGGGCGGGAGACCGAUAGUGGAAAAGUAGAGCGAUCGAAAGAUGAAAAGAACUUUGAAAAGAGAGUGAAAAGGACCUGAAAUUGUUGAAAGGGAAGAGAUUCGCGGCAGUGGGAACGGUGCGGCGUGGCGAACAACGCGACGCGGCACGGUCUGCAUGGCUUGCCGGCGCCGGAGACGGUCCGCGGAACAAGGUAGGCAUCUCUGCGGAGUGCUGUUAUAGAUCUGGGGACGGUGCGGGCGCGCGGGGAGCGAGGAGGUUAGGAGAUGCAGGCGAAAUGGCGCGAAUCAUCCCGUCUUGAAACACGGGAACCAAAA
rnacentral:rRNA from 1 species